GAGUUUGAUCAUGGCUCAGAUUGAACGCUGGCGGCAUGCCUUACACAUGCAAGUCGAACGGCAGCACGGGAGCUUGCUCCUUGAUUCAGCGGCGGACGGGUGAGUAAUGCCUAGGAAUCUGCCUGGUAGUGGGGGACAACGUUUCGAAAGGAACGCUAAUACCGCAUACGUCCUACGGGAGAAAGCAGGGGACCUUCGGGCCUUGCGCUAUCAGAUGAGCCUAGGUCGGAUUAGCUAGUUGGUGGGGUAAUGGCUCACCAAGGCGACGAUCCGUAACUGGUCUGAGAGGAUGAUCAGUCACACUGGAACUGAGACACGGUCCAGACUCCUACGGGAGGCAGCAGUGGGGAAUAUUGGACAAUGGGCGAAAGCCUGAUCCAGCCAUGCCGCGUGUGUGAAGAAGGUCUUCGGAUUGUAAAGCACUUUAAGUUGGGAGGAAGGGCAGUAAGUUAAUACCUUGCUGUUUUGACGUUACGACAGAAUAAGCACCGGCU
rnacentral:rRNA from 1 species